AUGGCAGGGAGGAGCAGCAGUGUGCUUCCGCACGAGGAUCACACCUGCAUCGAGUGGCUGGACACGCAGAUCACGGGGUCGGUGUUGUACGUGAGCGUUGGGAGCCUGGCGUGCAUGGACUCCGGCGAGCUCUCGGAGGUGGCGUGGGGGUUGGCCAACAGCGGCCAGCCGUUCCUAUGGGUCGUCCGGCAGGACCUCGUGCCGGGAUCGGACGGACCAUGUCUACCGGAAGGGUUCGACGAUAUGAUGAAGGGCAGGGGCAGGGUGACCCCAUGGGCCCCGCAGCAAGAGGUGCUGGCCCACCGUGCGGUGGGCGGGUUGUGGACCCACAACGGGUGGAACUCGACGCUCGAGAGUGUAGCCGAGGGUUGCCCGAUGAUCUGCAGGCCUCAGUUCGCGGACCAGAUGAUGAACGCGACAUACGUGGAUGCGGUGUGGGGCGUAGGCUUUGAGCUCGAAGGUGAGCUGGAGAGGAACAAAAUUGCGGAGGUCAUUCUGAAGCUUUUGAAGGGGAGCAAAGGGGAGGAGGCGAUGAGAAAGAGAGCAGGAGAGCUUAAGAGGAAAGUAGCGUCCUGCUUGGAGAGUGGUGGUCUUCCUUGUUGGCCAUUGAGAAAUUGA
rnacentral:rRNA from 1 species